GUGUCAGCAGCCGCGGUAAUACGGAGGAUGCAAGCGUUAUCCGGAAUGAUUGGGCGUAAAGCGUCUGCAGGUGGCAGUUCAAGUCUGCUGUCAAAGACCGGGGCUUAACCCUGGAAAGGCAGUGGAAACUGAACAGCUAGAGAGUGGUAGGGGUAGAGGGAAUUCCCGGUGUAGCGGUGAAAUGCGUAGAGCUCGGGAAGAACACCAGUGGCGAAAGCGCUCUACUGGACCACAACUGACACUCAGGGACGAAAGCUAGGGGAGCGAAUGGGAUUAGAUACCCCUGUAGUCC
rnacentral:rRNA from 1 species